GGAGAGGUGGCCGAGAGGCUGAAGGCGGCGGUUUGCUAAACCGUUAUACAGCCAAAAGCUGUAUCGAGGGUUCGAAUCCCUCCCUCUCCGCCA
rnacentral:tRNA from 1 species